GACGAACGCUGGCGGCGUGCUUAACACAUGCAAGUCGAGCGGUAAGGCCCUUUCGGGGGGUACACGAGCGGCGAACGGGUGAGUAACACGUGGGUGACCUGCCCUCAGCUCUGGGAUAAGCCUGGGAAACCGGGUCUAAUACUGGAUAUGACUCCAUGACGCAUGUUGUGGGGUGGAAAGCCUUGUGCGGCUGAGGAUGGGCCCGCGGCCUAUCAGCUUGUUGGUGGGGUGAUGGCCUACCAAGGCGACGACGGGUAGCCGGCCUGAGAGGGCGACCGGCCACACUGGGACUGAGACACGGCCCAGACUCCUACGGGAGGCAGCAGUGGGGAAUCUUGCGCAAGUGGGCGAAAGCCUGACGCAGCGACGUCGCGU
rnacentral:rRNA from 1 species